GAUGUCUUCGGGCAUUGAGACCGGCGCACGGGUGCGUAACGCGUAUGCAAUCUGCCUUGUACAGAGGGAUAGCCCAGAGAAAUUUGGAUUAAUACCUCAUAGUAUUAUUGAAUGGCAUCAUUUGAUAAUUAAAGUUCCAACGGUACAAGAUGAGCAUGCGUCCUAUUAGCUAGUUGGUGUGGUAACGGCAUACCAAGGCUACGAUAGGUAGGGGUCCUGAGAGGGAGAUCCCCCACACUGGUACUGAGACACGGACCAGACUCCUACGGGAGGCAGCAGUGAGGAAUAUUGGACAAUGGGCGCAAGCCUGAUCCAGCCAUGCCGCGUGCAGGAAGACGCAUCUAUGGUGUGUAAACUGCUUUUGUACGGGAAGAAACACUCCUUCGUGAAGGAGCUUGACGGUACCGUAAGAAUAAGGAUCGGCUAACUCCGUGCCAGCAGCCGCGGUAAUACGGAGGAUCCAAGCGUUAUCCGGAAUCAUUGGGUUUAAAGGGUCCGUAGGCGGUUUGAUAAGUCAGUGGUGAAAGCCCAUCGCUCAACGAUGGAACGGCCAUUGAUACUGUCAGACUUGAAUUACUAGGAAGUAACUAGAAUAUGUAGUGUAGCGGUGAAAUGCUUAGAUAUUACAUGGAAUACCAAUUGCGAAGGCAGGUUACUACUAGUGGAUUGACGCUGAUG
rnacentral:rRNA from 1 species